AAAGCAUUGUGAGCGUAAUGAAAAGAUGCGCCCGGCAGGUAGCUCGCCCAAAGCGAAAUCUAAACCUGUGAACAAAAGCCCAAAGCAAACUCCUCGCGAAAGAGACCAGGUGGGCACGCAGCCGACUCCCACAAAAACAGUAUUGCCAA
rnacentral:ribozyme from 1 species